GACCAAGAUUAAAUCCUUAUGGACACACUACAGGGAAACAGAGUGACAAAACCUCAGUGCUGAGAAGUAUGAUUCCAUCUCCAACACCUACUCCUACUCCUGAAACACCAUAAACUCUGUAUCCUGCAUCCCAAGUGAUUCAACAAGGAAGGUAUAUACCCAAAAGAAUGGAAAGCAAGGUCUCAAAGAGACACUUGUAUAUCCAUAUUUAUAGCAACAUCCAUUAUUCACAAUAACUAAAAUAUGGAAGCAACCCAUCAGCAAGUGAAUGGGUCAACAGAUGACUGCACCAUUGGCCAUGUUGAACUAAGCCAGCAAGUUGCUAUCCUUUGUGAAGAUACCUUCAUAAGACAGCUUCUCCUUCUCUGCAAGCAUGCCUGUGGCUUCAGAAAUCUUCUCUGUGAUGCUAGAGAACUGAUCUGUGAGCAGGAGGCUGAAGAGUAGUGCCUGCCCUUUCAGUUUCCAUUCUGUCUUAUCCUGCAUGUUAGGCACCUGGAUUUUGAAGAACACCAGCCUUGUUUUUGUUCAAGAACUCCUCCUCGGGCAUGAGGCUCUUCUCUGUCUUCAGGGUCUUGGAGGUGUGUGUGCCUUCCAUGGGAAGCAGGGUUGGACAGUGGGCUUUGCGCCUAGGGCUGGGACCAGUGACAAAGGUGAAGCAGGGAAAAAGGCUGUUGGCACAAUCAUAGGGGAGGACGAGGUGCCAUGGUAAGGGGCCAGGGAGUCAUGGGCACCACAAUGAUCCUGGGUGAGUGUAUGAUAAGCAGCAUGGGAGUGAUAGCUGAGCCUGGGGGCAGUCAGACCAUGAGAGCCUUUGGGGCCAAGGACAUGAUGGUGCUGUGGCCACAAUUAUAGCAUGGAUGGACCAGAGGCAGCAUGGCACAUGAAAAUGAGGUGAUGAGAGGGUCAAGCUGGGAAUGUUGAUGACUGGGGGCACAAGUGGUGACUGCUGGGGGAUGCCAUUGGGCUUGCUGGGGCCAGUGUUCUCUUUGGUGUCAUGCUCCAACACUGGGCCCUUAGAUAGGCUCCUGACAGUUGAUAUUGGACUGGGUGGCCUGCUGGGUCCUGGUCAUGCUGCCUAAGUGACCAGUAUCAAUUAGAUAUUGCUGAAAGUGGUAUGAACUAUGUUUUAUGCUAUAGACUGUUAUUAUUUUCUAUUGUUAGUUUAAAAACAUCAUUAUUUCAUAACAUUUAUUUAUUUGUUUGUUUAUUGGGUUUAAGAUGGUUCCAAAUAAUGAUCAAAAAGAGGUAUAGAAACUUGUUGUAAUACUGUCUCAGAAUACAGCAAAUGAGAUUUAUUUAAAUGGGAAAAAAAGGAAAUAAAUAUUGAUGGAUGAUGAAUAGAUGAGAAAAAUUCAUGGAAGAAUGAAUAAAUGCAUGAUACAGUAUGGAGACAGAAUCUAUGUAAUUAGAUCAAUUCCUACCAUGGGGGAACAUUAGAUGUUGAUGUCAAGGAUUUAUUAGAAAUGUUAUUGAAGAUAUGUAGGGUAAUGUUCAUAUAAUUAACAGAAAUCAGAAUGAUGGAAAAGGCAGUAGCGUUUUUGAAGCAGAAGUAAUAUAUUUGUUUGAUGUAUUUAGAUAAAUGUUCCAUUGGGGCAAAUUUGAAGUAAUGCCAAACAGUUGAAAUUACAAACCUAAACUUUAAGAGAGUCUUUUUGGAUUAUAAAAGUUGAUAACACAUAUGCAAAGAAUACAAAUUCAACUGUAGGAAUAGAUUCAAAUUAGAAUCAGACAAAAUGAUACAAGAAAGAAGGUUUUGGAGACAGGGCCAUUUGGAAUGAAAAUUGCUAGGUAGGGGAUGACAGUAUGAGAAAGACCAGAACAAUAACCUAGAAGAUAAGGUUUAUAUUUGUUAGGAACCUAGAAGCCAGAGAAAGGGAAUUUUAAAAGUUGAUUUGCCAGUUGGAAAAAAAAAAAAGCAUUAAAUAUUUCAGAAAUUAAGGGUUUUAUGCAAUGAGUGAUCAGUUUUGCUAAAUAAAGAAUAUCAUUUGGACUGUUUGAAAACUUUUGUCAAAGACCAUUAACUGUGUCAUAUGGGAAAAUAGAAGAGUCCCUACCGAGUUUAUGUCAUGUCAUAUGGAAUAAGCCUAAAGGUUUAGAAUUAUUCUUCAGUUUUGAGCAAAAUUAACACUAACAUUUUUAGUAAAAUAUGUUUAUGCAAAUGUGCAGUUUUCUGAUGAUAUUCAAGAGCAGUAUUGAGGUGUCAUUUUAUACAUAUGAGAAUGUCUAUUUACUUAAACACAAGAGAUGUCCAGUAGUUGUUUCUCAAUAUUAAUAACCAAAAUAUGACCAUUCACUAUUAUGUUGAGAUGCUAACUCAUUCUAUUUUUUUGUGUGAAGUAGGAAUUAUGUGAUAUUUUCUAUUUAUAUGUUAUGCUUCUAUACUAUUUGUAUCAUGUUUAAGGAUUAAAAAAAAAACAACAACCAACUAAAACCAAAAGAAGUUACCAAAUAAAUUUUUCAGGGCAAAAGGGAGGA